rnacentral:rRNA from 1 species
GACGAACGCUGGCGGCGUGCUUAACACAUGCAAGUCGAACGGAAAGGCCCCUUUGUUGGUACUCGAGUGUCGAACGGGUGAGUAACACGUGAGUAACCUGCCCUUGACUUCGGGAUAACUUCAGGAAACGGGGGCUAAUGCCGGAUAGGAAUCCUUUCUUCAUCGUGGGGGUUGGAAAGCUUCGGCGGGUUUGGAUGGACUCGCGGCUUAUCAGCUUGUUGGUGUGGUAGUGGCUUACCAAGGCGUUUACGGGUAGCCGGACUGAGAGGGCGACCGGCCACAUUGGGACUGAGAUAAGGCCCAGACUCCUACGGGAGGCAGAAGUGGGGAAUAUUGAACAAUGGGCGGCAGCCUGAUGAAGAAGCGCCGCGUGCGGGAUGACGGCCUUAGGGUUGAAAACCGAUUUCAGAAGGGGCGAAGCUUGUGGUGACGGUACCUGCAGAAGAAGCACCGGCUAACUACGUG